rnacentral:lncRNA from 1 species
CGAUUAAAGAUCCGCUCGGAUCAAAUUGACGAGCAUGCGCCGAUAAACCUGAAAGCGGGACCGCCAAGCGGGGCCAAACCGGGGCCGAAAUCGGCCUACAAGCUCGCUGUUUGAGCUGGGUAUUCUGCUCCCGAGCUUCUGACCUUACUGAAUCGGUUCUGCAGGGAUGAAAUCAGUGGCUGAAUGGACACGGUUUGACUUGGGUUCGGUGGCCGCGGUGAUGGAACGACCCGGAACCCGGCUGAGUUGCAGCUGCGGGGCUCGUGGGACGUGAGGUCUCUCGGAGGAAUCCUUUUCGUCGCUGCUGGAGUUAACCAUGAGAAGAAGUUGCUGAUUUGCUGACCGAAUGAAAUACGUGGGUGAGCUACAGGGAAGAAAAUUCUCGGUGGGGAUGAGGCAUGCGUGAGUGCGGCAUGGCAGAGGAGAAGAGGAAUCAUGGGGCUAGCUUCUGUGGGUUUGCUUCGGUCCAAGAAAAAAUCAAAGAAAGCAGAAGGCGGGAGGGGAAAGGUUCGGCUGCCAUGGC